rnacentral:rRNA from 1 species
GACGAACGCUGGCGGCGUGCUUAACACAUGCAAGUCGAACGUGAUUUUUGUGGAAAUUCUUUCGGGAAUGGAAAUGAAAUGAAAGUGGCGAACGGGUGAGUAACACGUGAGCAACCUACCUUACACAGGGGGAUAGCCGUUGGAAACGACGAUUAAUACCGCAUGAGACCACAGAAUCGCAUGAUAUAGGGGUCAAAGAUUUAUCGGUGUAAGAAGGGCUCGCGUCUGAUUAGCUAGUUGGAAGGGUAAAGGCCUACCAAGGCGACGAUCAGUAGCCGGUCUGAGAGGAUGAACGGCCACAUUGGAACUGAGACACGGUCCAAACUCCUACGGGAGGCAGCAGUGGGGAAUAUUGCACAAUGGGGGGAACCCUGAUGCAGCGACGCCGCGUGAGCGAAGAAGGUUUUUGAAUCGUAAAGCUCUGUCCUAUGAGAAGAUAAUGACGGUAUCAUAGGAGGAAGCCCCGGCUAAAUACGUG